rnacentral:sRNA from 1 species
UUAGCCAUGAAACUAUUUUUGUAGAUAUAUAUUUAUCAAUUGUAAACCUAAACUAGAUCAUAACCCGUGUUGUAUAGCACGGGUAUUAAUAUUUUGUAUAAAUUAAAUUGUAUAUUUUGUUUGAAUUACAUAAGAAAUAGUAUAGUAUAAAAGUAAUUUCAUAAUAUUUUUCAAUGUUUUUACUAUUUGCAUAUAAUGCUGCAUUAGAUUGACUUUGUUUAAAAAUGUUAUGUUUAUAAUAAAUACAACAUAUGUAGUUUUAAGUUAAUGUGUAAAAUUUGUAUACAAAUUGUUUUGGUAAGAAACAUGUUUCCUUUGUAUUAGAGGAUCUAAUUUUUGGCCUAACUUAGAAUUAGUCUUUGUAUAGUAUUUUGGUUAUAUUUGUAGAUCUAAUUAGGGCCUAUAUUAGAUUAUCUUUGAUAGGGCUGACGAAGAAACGGACCCGAUAACCAACCCAAUAUCCGAACCAAAAAACCGGGUUAGGGCGGGUUAAAAUUUUAGGAAAUUUCCUUAUUGGGUAGAGUUUUAGUAAACCCGUGGAUAUCCGAUUGGUCCAAAAAUUACCCGUUACCCAAAAAAAGUAUUCAAAAACCCAAACAUUAAUUUAAUAUCCAAAAUAUUAAUUAUAUUUAAUCGUAAUAUCAUCUAAUUAUCUAAGAUUAUAAUUAUAAAUCUAAAUAUGUCAAUUAAUUUUGGACCUAAAUAUCCAAAACAACUAAACUAUUCAAAAAUUAUUUGUUAUGUUUGUCAAAAUUUAGUAAAAUAUAUUCAAAUAUAAUUAAAUUUAUUAAAACUUAACAAAUUUAAAAGUUUUUUUUGUUUGGAGACCCGCUAUCUACAUACAAAAUUCCUGUUUCUAUUUUUUGGGUAUUUUUAGGGUCUGAAACUUUUUAUCCAAACUAACCCAAACCCAACUGGAUCCUACCCGAACCAGACCCGAAUAUUUAGAAUUAUUCUAUUAGGUAGUAAAUCAUACCGCAUGUAGGCUUAUAUUUUAGUUAAACUAAAAACUUUUAUUGCAAAGAUGAUUAUAAAUAUAUGAUAUUAUUUUAUUUAAUUUUAAAUGUAUAGUAAACUGCGAGUUGUAUGUGUUUUUUGAUAUUAUUUAUAUUGUUUAGUAUUUA